rnacentral:rRNA from 1 species
CCUACGGGUGGCAGCAGUGAGGAAUAUUGGUCAAUGGACGAGAGUCUGAACCAGCCAAGUAGCGUGAAGGAUGACUGCCCUAUGGGUUGUAAACUUCUUUUAUAUGGGAAUAAAAUGUUCCACGUGUGGGAUUUUGUAUGUACCAUAUGAAUAAGGAUCGGCUAACUCCGUGCCAGCAGCCGCGUUAAUACUGAGUAUCCGAGAGUUAUCCGGAUUUAUUGGGUUUAAAGGGCGCGUAGGUGGAUUGUUAAGUCAGUUGUGAAAGUUUGCGGCUGAACCGUAAAAUUGCAGUUGAAACUGGCAUUGUUGAGUACAGUAGAGGUGGGUGGAAUUCGUGGUUUAGAGGUGAAAUGCUUAGAUAUCACGAAGAACUACGAUUGCGAAGGCAGCUCACUGUACUGCAACUGACACUGAGGCUCGAAAGUGUGGGUAUCAAACAGGAUUAGAUACCCUUGUAGUC